GGGUGCGUGGCGCAAUGGCUAGCGUGUUUGGCUUCGAUGCUUCUCACGGAUGACACCAAAAGGCUGCAGGUUCGAGUCCUGCCGUGCUCA